GCCUACAGCCACACCACCCUGAACGCGCCCCAUUACAUCUGAUCUCGGAAGCUAAGUAGGGUUAGGCCUGGUUAGUACUUGGAUGGGAGACCGCCUGGGAAUACUGGGUGUUACAGGCU
rnacentral:rRNA from 1 species